rnacentral:lncRNA from 1 species
GCCAAGUCCUCUGUUAUGAAAUGUCAGAAACCCGGGCACAUUUGACCUGGAAUGUAUCUGUAUUUGCUCUGGGGUCUACAUGCUUCCUCAGCAAGGGAGGAGGGCAGGAAGAGUGUGAAACCAAGAUCCAAGUACACACUGUUUAAGGAGGACUUCAUGCCCAAGGCACAGUUCCUAGAGAGCUUGCUAGCUCUUCUCUAACACAUCACUGCUGUCUGGAUAGGGAUGGCCAGAGCACGUGUGUGUAUUAGUGAUAGCUCUCCAAAGAAACACAUCAAUAGGAUAUAUAUAGAUUUAUAAGAAGAGGUUUAGUUAGGAAUUGGCUCACGCGAUUAUAGAGGUCAAGGGAUCUCACCAUCUGCUGUCUGUAAAGCUGGAGAGCCAGUAAAGCAUGUGGUAUAAUUUAUCCUGAAGCCGCAGGCCUCGGGGUGUCAAAGUGAGGGAGUGGGGGCUGGGGGAGAAUAUUGUUCUAGCUUCUGUGAUAAAAAACGCUCUGACUGAAAGUACCAGAGGAGGAAAGGGGUUACUUGGCUUUAAUUUCAGAUUACAAUCCAUCACUGAGGCAAGGCAGGGCAGGAACCUGGAAGGAACUGGGAGGAAAUUCGGCCUGCUGGCUUAUUCUCAGGUUCAUGCUUAGCUAACUUUCUUAUACAGGACCACCUUCCUAGGUAUGGUGUUGCCCACAGUGGGCUGGUCACUCCUGCAUCCAUCAAUAGCCAGCCCCCUACAGAUAAAUUCACAGGCUAAUCUGUGUAGGCAAUUCUUCUCAACUGAGACUUUCCUUUGAGAUGACUCUAGUCUGUGUCAAGUUGUCAGUUAAACUAAUUAGGACAGGUUUGUUCUGAGAAGACAGGAGGAAAAGGAUGCCUUACCCUGAUUUGGGGAUGGGGUAAGUGGAGAAGAUUGGGAGGAUAGAAAGAGGAGAGAAAAUAUGAGACUUUUUCCUAGGAGGAGACAACACACACACCUCUCCUUACCCAAAAAUGGAAGUCACAGCAGAUCAAUGUAUGGGUUACACCAAAGUCUAAGUUGGUGAACUUUCAAGUUGUUAUUAGGGUUAUCGACAGCAGCAUGGGUGACUCAGAAAAGCCCACCUCAACACCAGUUGCCUACCCAGCAACCCACAGGCAAUUAACAGUCCUCAGUAGUUUCUGCAGCUCAGCUGUCACUUCCCCCCUCCCCCGUCCCC